rnacentral:ncRNA from 2 species
GCAACAAUCUAGGGCUGGGGUACCUCGUGCCAUGUGCGCGAGGCCUAAAAGGGGAAGCCGGUGCAAAUCCGGCGCUGUCCCGCAACUGUGACUCCACCAGGAGAAGUCAGGUCGCCUGCCCAGUCCUUCAUUCCGGA